AGUGAACGCUGGCGGUAGGCCUAACACAUGCAAGUCGAACGGCAGCACAGUAAGAGCUUGCUCUUACGGGUGGCGAGUGGCGGACGAGUGAGGAAUACAUCGGCAUCUACUUUUUCUUGGGGGAUAACGUAGGGAAACUUACGCUAAUACAGCAUACGACCUACGGGUGAAAGCAGGGGAUCUUCGGCCCUUGCGCGAGUGAAUGAGCCGAUGUCGGAUUAGCUAGUUGGCGGGGUAAAGGCCCACCAAGGCGACGAUCCGUAGCUGGUCUGAGAGGAUGAUCAGCCACACUGGAACUGAGACACGGUCCAGACUCCUACGGGAGGCAGCAGUGGGGAAUAUUGGACAAUGGGCGAAAGCCUGAUCCAGCCAUGCCGCGUGGGUGAAGAAGGCCUUCGGGUUGUAAAGCCCUUUUGUUGGGAAAGAAAAGCAGUGGGUUAAUACCCCGCCGUGCUGACGGUACCCAAAGAAUAAGCACCGGCUAACUUCGUG
rnacentral:rRNA from 1 species